rnacentral:rRNA from 1 species
AGAGUUUGAUCCUGGCUCAGGACGAACGCUGGCGGCGCGCCUAACACAUGCAAGUCGAACGGAGCUUAGAGAGCUUGCUUUUUAAGCUUAGUGGCGAACGGGUGAGUAACGCGUGAGUAACCUGCCCUAGAGUGGGGGACAACAGUUGGAAACGACUGCUAAUACCGCAUAAGCCCACGGUAUCGCAUGAUACUGAGGGAAAAGGAUUUAUUCGCUUUAGGAUGGACUCGCGUCCAAUUAGCUAGUUGGUGAGGUAACGGCCCACCAAGGCGACGAUUGGUAGCCGGACUGAGAGGUUGAACGGCCACAUUGGGACUGAGACACGGCCCAGACUCCUACGGGAGGCAGCAGUGGGGGAUAUUGCACAAUGGGGGAAACCCUGAUGCAGCGACGCCGCGUGGAGGAAGAAGGUCUUCGGAUUGUAAACUCCUGUUGUUGAGGAAGAUAAUGACGGUACUCAACAAGGAAGUGACGGCUAACUACGUGCCAGCAGCCGCGGUAAAACGUAGGUCACAAGCGUUGUCCGGAAUUACUGGGUGUAAAGGGAGCGCAGGCGGGAAGACAAGUUGGAAGUGAAAUCCAUGGGCUCAACCCAUGAACUGCUUUCAAAACUGUUUUUCUUGAGUAGUGCAGAGGUAGGCGGAAUUCCCGGUGUAGCGGUGGAAUGCGUAGAUAUCGGGAGGAACACCAGUGGCGAAGGCGGCCUACUGGGCACCAACUGACGCUGAGGCUCGAAAGUGUGGGUAGCAAACAGGAUUAGAUACCCUGGUAGUCCACACCGUAAACGAUGAUUACUAGGUGUUGGAGGAUUGACCCCUUCAGUGCCGCAGUUAACACAAUAAGUAAUCCACCUGGGGAGUACGACCGCAAGGUUGAAACUCAAAGGAAUUGACGGGGGCCCGCAC